GGAUUUCUGACUUAAACUUGGCAAGUUAUAAGGUCAAUAUAAUAUUGAAAUGCAUGGGAAUAAUUCCCCUUCUGCGUGGACAGCUACCUUCAUAAGUCUGAAGGAUUAAUAAAACAACUGGGUGCCUUGUGGGUAAAGGUGAUGACUGGAGGGUAGUUCCACCCAAGUGGCAGGCGGGCCGUGACAGCUCCGAGAUGCUCUUUGACCUGAGAGGAAGGGAAAACAACAUCAAUGGCCACCAGGGACGCUGGAGGUGUCGGAGGAUGAAGGCGCGCUGCCAAUAACACCAGACGUGUGUGUAUACACUGUAGACACACAGGACACAGCAGGAGGGGAGGUGUGAUGUUCUCUCUUUUUAUUGACUGACACGGCUGAUGAGGGCCCAUCCUGCACUUUGGCAGAAGGGUAGGCAAGCAUGCGGAGGUGGCACCCACCAGGGUGCAAGGAGGGGGCGACAUGGUCGUCCUUCAUAGAUAUUCCAUGCGUGGCUUUACCCUCAGCUGCCCUGUCAAGGUCUAUGUAUGCCCCUCCAAGGGGGCUGAGACAGGGUCAUGGAUGACACCCGCCUCUAUGCCAGACGUGACAGCACAGCUGGGCCGCUUAAUGACAGAGAGGCCUGGCCCAGCACACACCUGCCCAUCCUGGGCAGGGCAGGCGACCUCACGGGGAGAAAGAGGAGCCGUUGCCACGUUCGAUGGACAGAUGUUCUGGAGGGGAGACAGCAGAGACAGCUGCACUACAGGGACCCCUCCGUUUCUCUCCUCUCUCCAGUAAUUGAAAAUCAUGUAAAAGGUCAAAUGUGCGAUACUGGCUGUCCCUCUUUGCAAGUUGUUCCUUUCAGCCAGAACAUGACAAAAACAACACUGACUGGAUGACAGCUUUUGCUGCAAUUAUUGCCUAUUUAGCUAUGGAUGUCCAUGUAAUGACGAUAUCUGUAAACAUUCCCAGUGAAUAAAUCUGCAUAUACAAAGA